rnacentral:lncRNA from 1 species
UGGAUGAUGAAGAUGAAAUGGUCCGAAUAAUGGAGUGGUUCAAGCUUGAGUCUGAUUUCGGAUAACACUUGCUAAGUCGAGCUGGCGACUUUAAAACUAGCGCUUGGUGGGAGGCAACCCACUGUUGGUUUGGUUUAGUUUUCAUUUUUGUUUUUCUUGUUUUGUGCUUUUCGUUUUGUGUUUUCCUAAGUUUUGGUUGCUUGGGCGGAUACUUUGAUUUUUGGGUGUUAAUGUUUUGUUUUCAGCGCUG